GACGAACGCUGGCGGCGUGCUUAACACAUGCAAGUCGAACGGAAAGGCCCCCAUCUUGGUGGGGGUGCUCGAGUGGCGAACGGGUGAGUAACACGUGGGUGAUCUGCCCUGUACUUCGGGAUAAGCUUGGGAAACUGGGUCUAAUACCGGAUAGGACCAUGGUUUAGCGUCUCAUGGUGGAAAGAUUAUUGUUUUGGUGCAGGAUGAGCUCGCGGCCUAUCAGCUUGUUGGUGGGGUAAUGGCCUACCAAGGCGUCGACGGGUAGCCGGCCUGAGAGGGUGGACGGCCACAUUGGGACUGAGAUACGGCCCAGACUCCUACGGGAGGCAGCAGUGGGGAAUAUUGCACAAUGGGCGCAAGCCUGAUGCAGCGACGCCGCGUGGGGGAUGACGGCCUUCGGGUUGUAAACUCCUUUCGUUAGGGACGAAGCCACGCUUGUGGGGUGUGGUGACGGUACCUUUGUGAAGAAGCACCGGCUAACUACGUG
rnacentral:rRNA from 1 species